CACGUAGGGGCGAGCGUUGUUCGGAAUCAUUGGGCGUAAAGGGCGUGCAGGCGGCCCUGCAAGUCCGGCGUGAAAUGUCCCGGCUCAACCGGGGAGACGCGCUGGAAACUGUGGGGCUUGAGUACAGGAGGGGAUGCCGGAAUUCCAGGUGUAGGGGUGAAAUCUGUAGAUAUCUGGAGGAACACCAAUGGCGAAGGCAGGCAUCUGGCCAUGUACUGACGCUGAGACGCGAAGGUGCGGGGAGCAAACAGGUUUAGAUACCCCGGUAGU
rnacentral:rRNA from 1 species